rnacentral:lncRNA from 1 species
ACGAUGCCGAAAAUGAAGAAGACGAAGAAGCACAGCAGAAGGACGUUCCCGAGCAUGGGCAGCGUAUCCAGCAGCAGAGUGACCAGGAUCCGCAUGCCUGUGGGCAGCAGGGCCAGGAUUGGCACUGCUAAGCCCUGCAGGAGUGUCCUCGGGGCUGCAGCCCCUCCCGGGACCCCCGAGCCCCGUCCACUGUUCACAGUGGGUGUCCACGCCCACUGCACACUGACUCGGGCCACCCCCUGGUGAUUUUCCCGCACCCCUAGUGUGAUCGGGACUCCCCUCCUACCACCACCGGCCUCCAGGGACACUGACACCCUGGGGUCUGACGUGCAUCCAGCGGGGCGCCAGGUCUCCACCUCCAACCAUCCCAGGGCAGCAGGUCUGCUGCUUUUGGAGGGCUGGGGUGUGGAGGGGCAGGAGUGGAGGCAGGGGACUGGCCGAGGCAGGGAACUGGCUGCGGCAGGUCUGACCACGUGGCAUCUCGGGCUCGGGAUGACCAGGCGGAGCCCAGUGGCCCUCGAGGCUUGUCUGGCGACACCCUGAAGUUGCCACCAAGGCAGCAGGAGCCUUGGGAGCCCCAGAACCUCAGGUGGUGGGCUGCCUCCUGGGGGUCUCUGCAGCAGGUCUGGGAUCCUGAAAACUUUGUCUGAUUCCCAGUGAGAAUCCUGCCAGAACAGAGCCCCAUCUCAGAGAGAGGCUGCUGGAGGCGGUGGGGAGGACCGGCAGCGGCUUUUCAGGAGGUAGCACUGAAGCCAUCGGUCCUGGGUGCUAUGGGCUACGUGAACUCCAGAUUAAUCCAGCAAGUGGGUCAGCCAAGCCCCACGCGCCCCUCGCUCCAUCCUGGGCCUGCUCCCCCAAGACGUCCUUUCCCUCAAAUUUAAUCAAGGGCCAGGCUAAGGCAGCAGGUCACAAGGGUGAGUCAGAGCCAGGAGGAGCACUGAAGUGUCAAAAGAGCCGACCGGAGCAGACAAUCAGUGAGCACUGCCCUGGCCAGACCGCAACCGCCUCAAAGAUCACAGAUGACCCAGAGGUCAGAGUGGACCCCUAGCCAACAGAACAGGAUGCAGCCCUGAGCGUGUCCUCAUUAUGAGAAGCGUAUUAUCCAGUCUGGAAGAGUUCCCUAGUUCUCUCCUAGAGACAGGAGCAGAUCCCCAGGAGGCCAGGCUGCUGGCGACAAUUAGGGCCACUCUGGCAAUUUAACCUGAAAAGUAAACAUCCAUGGAAGGAAGGGGCUGUGUGUGCUGGGUUGCUUCACGCUUCAACAGGUGGGGCCAGGCCGGCGUGCAGACUGAACGUACAGUGGGUGCCGGGCAAAGGGCCAAGAGCCACACACGCGUCCCCUCACCGCACGCUCAGCCACCCUUGGGGUCAUGGUUACUCCUGUACUGCACUAUUCCAGGAGAAACUGAGGUUCAGGCUCAGCUAGUUGCUCAGAGUCACACAGUAUUCAAGCCCUAUCUGAGCCACACAGUAGAGCCAAGGCAGGCAGGUGGAAGGCAGGCUCAGGGACCAGCGGCACGAGGAUGACCCACCUGCCCUUCGGGAAGCCAGAGGCCCCAUGGGAAGGAGUGCCUAGCCUUGGGGGUCUGUGACUUUGGGGGGUUGCUGCAGGUCAAGCCCUGAGUGCCAAGGCCACCAGGACCCAGGUCAGGCAGCCAGAAAGGCUGUGUUACACCCGCACGUGCACACACGGGGCCACAUCUACACGCAGUAUGCACUCGCGCCUGGUACGGCCUCGUGGGGGCCGCGCCGACCCCCAGGAACCAGAGCAGUUGAAUGUAGCCCUGAGUGCUUAAAGAACGAUCCCACCCCAUCCCCUGAUGCAGGUGGGUGGCCCGGAUUUGACAGGAUGUUUCCCAAACAAGCAGGCAUAUGACUUCCUGGAAGCUCUUCCUCCGCCUCCCCUCACACCCAGCGCACAGCAGACACACAGCAGCUCCUCUCCACCAGGCCCCCUCCUCACACCUGCUGGCCAAAUCCUGAAGGAUUUCCAGCCUUCCUUCUAGAAAAUCAGCUGCUCAGCAGGGGACACGGAGGCCCAGCCCUGGCCAGCCAACUUCCCCUUUCCUUAGGUGGGGAUCCUGGCAGGAGAGUAGGGGCCAGAAGCAGUGGCGGGUGGGGAGAGCGAGGUGUCCUCAGGACAGGUGUCAGGCUCUCCCCUCACUUGUGUGGGUGUGAAGGCGGGGCUUCACAGAGCCCCCAGGUGAGCUGAGCCACACCCACAAGAGUGUCUCCACCACGAGCCACACCAGGAUGCGCCAGACAGCAAAGCCACCAGGGAUCUGCUCGGCCUCCAGCCUUGCCCCAGAUGCCAUGCAGAGAAGGAACCGGAGGUGGGACACAGGGAUCCCUGUGGGGUGGGCGGGGCCCCUUCGCCAGCGCUGUGGCCUCUCCCAGGCGGGGCCUACCCCGCCACGACGAUGAAGA